rnacentral:rRNA from 1 species
UUGAACGCUGGCGGCAUGCCUUACACAUGCAAGUCGAACGGUAGAGGGGCAACCCUUGAGAGUGGCGAACGGGUGAGUAAUAUAUCGGAACGUGCCCAGUCGUGGGGGAUAACGCAGCGAAAGCUGCGCUAAUACCGCAUACGAUCUAUGGAUGAAAGCGGGGGAUCGCAAGGCCUCGCGCGAUUGGAGCGGCCGAUAUCAGAUUAGGUAGUUGGUGGGGUAAAAGCCCAC